UACGAAGGGUGCAAGCGUUACUCGGAAUUACUGGGCGUAAAGCGUGCGUAGGUGGUGAGUUAAGUCUGUCGUGAAAGCCCCGGGCUCAACCUGGGAAUGGCGAUGGAUACUGGCUCGCUAGAGUGCGGUAGAGGAGAGUGGAAUUCCAGGUGUAGCGGUGAAAUGCGUAGAUAUCUGGAGGAAUACCGGUGGCGAAGGCGGCAUCCUGGACCGGCAUUGACGCUGAGGAGCGAAAGCUAGGGGAGCAAACGGG
rnacentral:rRNA from 1 species